GCAUAACUGUAAACAUCGAUAGCAAUUUACUCGCAAUCCGCCAGGGAACUACAAGCACUGGCUUGAAACCCAAAGGACUUGGCGGUGCUUUAGACCCACCUAGAGGAGCCUGUUCUAGAACUGAUAACCCCCGUUCAACCUCACCCUGCUUUGCCAUUCCCGCCUAUAUACCGCCGUCGUCAGCUUACCUUGUGAGAGAUUAUAAGUGAGCAAGAUUGGUAUAACCCAAAACGUCAGGUCGAGGUGUAGUGAAUAGCAGGGGAAGAAAUGGGCUACAUUUAUCUAUUGAUAAAUACGGAUCUUUAAUUGAAAAAUGAAGCUGAAGGAGGAUUUAGUAGUAAGAAGGAAAUAGAGUGUUCUUCUGAAGCAGGCUAUGAAGCGCGCACAUACCGCCCGUCACUCUCCCCUAAUACCUCGAAAGACUAAAUAAAACACCUGAAAAAUUAAGGGGAGGCAAGUCGUAACAUGGUAAGUGUACCGGAAGGUGUACUUGGAAUAC
rnacentral:rRNA from 1 species